CACGUAGGGUGCGAGCGUUAAUCGGAAUUACUGGGCGUAAAGCGUGCGCAGGCGGUUCUCCAAGUCCGUUGUGAAAGCCCCGGGCUCAACCUGGGAAUGGCAGUGGAAACUAGGGGACUGGAAUCUGGCAGAGGGGGGUGGAAUGCCGCGUGUAGCAGUGAAAUGCGUAGAGAUGCGGCGGAACACCGAUGGCGAAGGCAGCCCCCUGGGCUGAGAUUGACGCUCAGGCACGAAAGCGUGGGGAGCAAACAGG
rnacentral:rRNA from 1 species